ensembl:lncRNA
CACCAAUAGGGUGCAGAUGUUCCAAUGUUUCUAUACCCUCACCAACACUUCUUGUUUUCUUUUUGGUAGCGGGGAUCAAACUCGGGUCUUUGCGCUUGUGCAGCAGGCGGUGAAACCACUGAGCUAAAUCCCUGGCCCUUGUUUUCUUUUUUUAAAAAUAGCCAUCCUAAUGGGUGUGAACUGGUAUUUUGUAAUUUUGAUUUGACUUCUCUAAUGUCAACAACUUCUUUUUUUCUUUUGAGACAGGGUUUCCCUAUAUUUGGCAUGGCUGGCUUUGGAUCCCUGGGUUUGAGUGACCCCUGCCUCAGCCACUUGAAGAGUUGGACUUGCAGGUGUGCACCUCUGCCUUUUCUUCGUGGUCACAGCGAGGAGGACGAGGCACUCAGCUGCUUGGGUGUCUUCAGGGGUCAGGCAGCUGCACAGAGCCACCCACUCAAGGUUGUGACCCCUGCUGGCGUCCCUGGCCGGGGACACGUUAGUGUGGGGUCAGCCCUGCCCAAGUCAGGAGGAGGCUGCCUGUGGGAUUGCAGGACAGUUGCUGGGUCUGUUGGGGUUUCCUUCUCCUUGUGUAUGGUCUCCUUCCUGGCCUCCUUCUGCCGCUGUUGGUGCCAGGCCAAGUCCCUCACAACUGUCCUAACCCUGCCACAUGGCAUCUGGGUCCUGAAGGUGCCACCUCACCACAGAGACCAGUCCGUUUGCACCUUUGCCCACUUGCUGGUGUCGGAAAGGCUCUUGCUUGAGUCUGUGCCUCUUUGGUAGCUGACAGGCCUGAGCGCGGUUUUGCAGUGGACACAUGUGGCUUCCUUGUGGCCUGCCUUUGCGGAUGACCUCCUUUGCCUACCUUUCCAGAGCUGUCUUCGUCUUCCUGUUGUUGAGGGCCUAAGGACAGAAGCCUGAAGGCCGGAUGACCUAGCAGAGGCAGGUGCAGCCGAUGCACUGAGCCUGUCCCAGCCUGCUGCCUGGUCCCCGAACUGGACACUUCUGAGGGGCACAAAAAGUGGCUCCAGACUCUCUGGUGCUAAAUAUAAAAUGAAAAGAUACAUCACCCGAUGAAACCAGCCAGGAGCCUCCCAGGCAGAGCAGAGGAGCCAAGGAGGAGGCCCAGGAAAAGCCACAGAGCCGCCUGUGAAGAGAUGGAAGGCUUUCCACCCACAUCUGCGCCGCUGGGUGCACCGGGACCACUCUGAGCCUCAAUCUUCCCUGUGCAGAAGAUCACUGCUUCUGACCACAGAGCUGCGGCAAAGGCACCACAUCAUCUAUGUGCAGGACUGAAGCCCUCCCUCCAGUGGCAGUGCCUUCCAGGAACUCAAAGGGUUGGUGCCCUUUCCCGCCCCUCUUCAGUGUUCUCUUUGUCUACUUUGGUGGACAAACUUUAAAGACUGAGACAUUCAAAAGCAACUGCAUACAUGGAGAAAAUUUAUAAAGUGGCCACACAUGCCUAAGGAAAGGCUCAAAAAGACUUGAGAAGACCUUACGUUUACAUCUCAGCUGAUCCUUGGCAAUAAUAAAAAUAAGCCCAAACAAGUAAAGUAAAUCAGCGAAAAACUAAACAAAACAAAAAUAAUAACAAACCCCAGAAAUCCCCAGGGAAGGGGGAGAAUAUUAUUUCCAGAUGUCCACCUUUUCAGCAAAAAUGCUCAAGGUAUACAAAGAAGCAGGAAAAUAUGGCUAAUUCAUAGCAAUAGAAAAUAACAGAGACUCCCUGAUAAAGAUCUGAUAGUAGAUGUAUUAGACAAGAAUUUUAAAGCAACUCUUUAAUGAUUCCCAGCAGAAUUAAAGGAGGAUGUAGAGAAAAUCAAGAAAGUGAUGUAUGGACAUAAUGGAAAUGUCAACAAAGGAAACCAAAAUGGAAACCAAAAAGAAAUUCUGG